UUCAAGAAGACCAUAGCCUUGAAGAGUAACUUCCUGCUUGGAGACUGGGCUCCUGUGUCACCCUAGGCAAGCUAUAUAUCCGGGCUUCAGUUUCCUCAUCUGCAAACCUGAGACCCCAGUGUCAGCUUCCUCAGAGCGUAAUCCAGGUUUAAAAUGUUUCAACAUAAAAGGUUUGAGGGAGAAAACAGAAAGCGAGUCUUCACUUUUGCAGACAAUGAAGAAAAGAAGAAAGGAAAGAAAGGGUAAGGGAUACAUUUUCUGAGCCUGUCCGAGCAUCACUCUUGCUGCUGCUAAGGGGAGGACAGAUGGGCAGCGGGGAGACCAGUCACCCGGGGGGCGGGGAUCUCAGCGGGGCGGACGAGAGACCGUGGUGGUGUGGGCUAGGCUGGAACGGUCCCUCCCGUAUGGAGCCCCUACUUUCUGAGGAGUAGGACACGGUGCCAUCUGUUGAAGACAAGAGGGAAGCCUGGAAAUAGCCCCUGCGGAGGACGGGCUCAGAGGCUGACGGGGUGAAGCGGGCGGUCACACGGCGUCGUGGGCCAGCUGAGAUUUGCAACAAGGAGCCUCCGACGGAACCCAGCAGCAGGGCUGUGGGUGUCUCCCAUCCGCAGCCAAGACCCCAAAAUGCCAGGUUGACAAGCAGGAGCGGCAAAGAGCCUGAGGAUAUAGACCGCGCCUGCGAGGAAAGACAUGCCCUGCCUCCCAAACAGGUGAUGCCCUGUACUCCAGGGCAACCAGUAAGCCGCGCUAUUCUGUAAUGGGACUGCACGGACUAAAGGGGCUCGAUGAAGUUGUUUCGGGUGCUAUUUUAAUUUUGCUGGCGGGUUUCAGACUCCUCAAAGACGGGGCUCAGGCCUUACAAGGCAGUACAAUGUAGAAGUAAUGCCCAGGGGGUAUCAGGCUGGGACUCUGGAGCUCAGAGGACAAUCCCUUGCUACCCGUGUCCCUCUUUGUGUGCAUCACCACACAAGACAACAUUCUAAACGUCACGCUGCCCACGUGUAAAAAAGUUGUGACGAGAGUUCUACUUUAGACGCCAACACCUUAAUCUAACGCUUUUUAUACAAUCAUGUUGCAAAACGCUGACGUAUCACACUUUCCAGAGAGCUGCUCCACUCAGGCGACCUGCAUUCAGAGAGAGGACGAUGAAGUGGACACACACCUUUGCACAUUUGCUGGGGUUUGAGGACGUAGCCACAAUUGCCAUUGGUCUUGAAUUUGGCUCGAUUUAAUUGCAUCAUUCGCCCUUCGGACUGGUAGUUCAGAGCCACUGCGCAAGUUCAAAGUUUGAGAGAAUUAGGCAAGGCAGCAGCGUGGAGCCAGGGCCUACAGGGAAAGGCUCCGAGGCAUACGCACCUAGCUGGCAGCCUGCGUUCCAGUAGGGCAGAGGGUUGAAGUUACUGGAAUCGAUGCGGUAGGCAGACGGGUAAAUCCUCGUGAGCUGCUUUUGGUUGUAGAUCAUGAACUGCUCCGAUUUCUGCUGAACCACCUGAUGUGCUCUUGUUUCACUAAAUGAUAACACGUUUCCUGUGGUUCCUGGCAGUUUGUAAUAAAGAAAAAAGAAAAGCGAGAACCUCAGUCAGGGAAACAGCACCCACGAAAGACUUUCUAAUACAUCAGAUUAUGCCCAUAAGAAAAUGCAGAGCAAAAGACUGAAUUCAGACCGGACUAGAAGUAGCUUCUGACCAAGAAAGAUCCAUAAAAUCCCAUUCUUGAGACUCUCUUCAUGGUUUUGAGGUCAAAUCUGAGCUGCUCAUCUUGCAAGGAUAACUGCAUGUUUCUGAGUCCCGCGUUCUCCCAGAAAUUCAAUCAUCCCACUAAUUCACGUCUAUCUGGCUAGUAUGAGGAGGGCUGGCAGGAAAAUUAUCUUCUAGGGGUGUGAUUCCAACAGACUCUCUUUGCCAAAGAUACAGACAGUCAUGGAUGAAUAAAACUAUGUAACUUAUUCCUGAUAUUCAUUGACAGCAUUCAUCCUAAAAGCACACAUGUAAAGCACCUAUUAACUGACAGCAGAAAGAAAAUAAAAGACCAAUUCCAAAGGAGAAAAACGGAGUUUCAACGUUAAUUUGAAUAGAAUUGUGAAACUAGUCAAAAGCUAUUUGGAUAAAAGGCAUAAUAAUGGAGAAAGAUUUUGAAAGAGCAUUAUAAAUACAUAAAAUCUCAGAAACAAGAAUAAUCACCCACCAUCCACAUAAACCAUGGGAAAAAAAAAUAAAGGGAGGUAAAAGAAUAGGAAGCCCGUGCUAAAGUUUCUGCUUGGACUGUCAUCAGAAGGUGUCGAUCCAGGGCCAACGAGGCUCCAAAUCUAGGGGUCGUGAUGGAUGGAGUUAACCUCCAGGCAUUCAGUAUCCCACCCUUGUCUCCCAAUCCCGGGUCUACAAUGCCCCUACUACUCCUACCCCUUCGCCAAACGUCCUCACCCUACCCCCAAAGUGACCCCUCAUAAGUCUUCUGGACAUGCUGGGCGCAGCCGGCCCGAAUAAAGACCCAAGCUUGCCCAGAGCCUCGUGUCCAUUCCAGAGUUUACUGACAAGCUCAGUGUGUCUGAACCCAGACGGAGGGACACGGCUCAUGACGGCAAGGAGCUGAACCCUACGGCCCUGCUGGGCCAACUGGGCCUGAAUGGUAUCCACACGGUGUGUUAGUUGGAGCACGUAGCAUCAUCCCAGGGCCCCUGGCGUCCUCAGGACUGUCUGACCUAGGACAUUAAACGCUGGCCAGAUGACUACUGACUACACUGUAGAGAUGGAUCCUGGGAUGAUCGUGACUACCAGACGGAGGCCAAGAGAUUAGGGAAUUACAGUUUUUAAUCUGACGAUUUCCCUCAGGGACACUCUUUCCUUACCACAUAUAUUUUAUUGACACACUUACAAACCAUAGUUUCUGUUUGUCAAGCAUACGAAAAAUAAUCUUACUUGCGGGUUUUGAGGGGCAAUGCCUUAAAACAUGACAGGAGAAGGUAUACUGUCUUUUUGACAAGCCACAGUCAGAUGCAGUGACACCAGAGCCAGUGCCACUCUUCUGUCUCUCCACAUAAGUAUGUACACCACAUCCUCCAGAAGGUGACCUUGCUAAUUAGGCACAUGCCAAUUAGCAUAUGAAUAGAUCUGCGUUGCUUUGCAUUGGGAUAAGGCAUGCAUUCAUUAUUUAUCGCUCACUUUGCCACGCGACACGGCGGUUCAAGAGCUAGAGAGUACUCAAUACUAUUUUCCAUUAAGCUAAUAGAAUUAUGGUUUCUUAAGGUAUUUAUUAGAAAUCAUACUCCUGGGGGAACCUGAGUGGUUCAGCUAAUUAAGCAUCUGACUCUUGGUUGCCACUCAGGUCAUGAUUUCCAGGUCCUGGGAUUUAGGGGACCUCCUGCCUGAGGAUUCUCUUUCUCUCUCUCUCUCUUCUUUCUCUCUGCCCACUCCCGCUCAUGUUUUUUCUCUCCCUCUAAUAAAUAAAUCUUUUCCAAAAAAAUUACAUUCUUCUAAACCAAAUACACCUUUAGCUCCACUAGACCACUCACUGGGUUGAUUUCCUAGCUAUGGACGGUUAUUAUAAGGACAGGUUCUCAUGUUCUCGCAUGUGAAAUCAUUAUUUUUUUUAUUGUCUCCAUUUGAAGAAAGAAUCAAUAUCACACGUAGGACAGAAAAAGAUACACUUGUGGAAUGGUAAAAACAAAAAGGAGAGACCUGAAGGGAGGGAUCCUGGAGGUUUGACACAGAAGACUUGGCACGACGUCAUCUUUCCUUUACUAAGAUUUGUUGGAAAAUGGGAGAUUUUUAAAUUUGCAUUUCACUUCCACUAAAACUAAAAUUAGAUUGCAAGGCCGCACGGCUGUCGUUUAUUUCUAUAAGCAUUCAGUAACUGAACAAAACAGAAAUGCUAAGGGAAGAGGAUAAAGGGAAGAAGAGGAGCUAGCAGGAAGGUGCAGGGUAAGAACACUUGUGACUAGGAUCUCUCAACGCAACAGGAUGCAAAUAAUAGAUGGAAAACAGUGAAAGAAUCAGUGCUUCUGAAAUUCCCGCUCUUUCUGUUAAAUCUUCAAUCCGUGGGCUAAAUCAUUUUCACCAAAGUCAAACUUUCCAAUCAGAAAAUAUGGGACUUUUCAAGGUGUUAUUUUUUAUUAUUAUUAUUAUUUAAGCUCAAUUUGCCAGCAUAUGGGAUAACAAGGGCGCAUCGCGUCAUGUGCCCUCCUUAAUCGAGGUGUUAUUUUAGCUUUCUGCUUUCUUCUGGUCA